rnacentral:rRNA from 1 species
UAACGCGUGGGUAACCUGCCUCAUACAGGGGGAUAACAGUUAGAAAUGACUGCUAAUACCGCAUAAGCGCACAGAAUCGCAUGAUUCGGUGUGAAAAACUCCGGUGGUAUGAGAUGGAUCCGCGUCUGAUUAGCUAGUUGGUGGGGUAAAGGCCUACCAAGGCGACGAUCAGUAGCCGACCUGAGAGGGUGAUCGGCCACAUUGGGACUGAGACACGGCCCAAACUCCUACGGAAGGCAGCAG